GUCCCGCUUCUCCAUCACGCACGUGUCUGACUCGGACGCCGAGUCCAAGAGAGGACCUGAAGCUGGUGCCGGGGGUGAGAGUAAAGAGGCUUGAGACCUGGGCAGCUCCUGCCCCUCAAGGCUGGCGUCACCGGAGCCCCUGCCAGGCAGCAGCGAGGAUGGUGACCGAGAAGGUGGGGACCACGUCCUGGUGGCUGUUGGCAGCAGAUUCAGGUGCCUCUGCCCCACGCGGUGUCCUGGAGAAGCCCGUGGGAUGAGAGGCCCUGGAUGGUAGAUCGGCCAUGCUCCGCCCCAGAGGCAGAAUUCGUCUGGGCUUUUAGGCUUGCUGCUAGCCCCUGGGGGCGCCUGGAGCCACAGUGGGUGUCUGUACACACAUACACACUCAAAAGGGGCCAGUGCCCCUGGGCACGGCGGCCCCCACCCUCUGCCCUGCCUGCCUGGCCUCGGAGGACCCGCAUGCCCCAUCCGGCAGCUCCUCCGGUGUGCUCACAGGACACUUAAACCAGGACGAGGCAUGGCCCCGAGACACUGGCAGGUUUGUGAGCCUCUUCCCACCCCCUGUGCCCCCACCCUUGCCUGGUUCCUGGUGGCUCAGGGCAAGGAGUGGCCCUGGGCGCCCGUGUCGGUCCUGUUUCCGC
rnacentral:lncRNA from 1 species